rnacentral:rRNA from 1 species
ACGGGAGGCAGCAGUGAGGAAUAUUGGUCAAUGGGCGGAAGCCUGAACCAGCCAAGUAGCGUGCAGGAUGACGGCCCUAUGGGUUGUAAACUGCUUUUGUGCGGGGAUAAAACACGGGACGCGUCCCGUCUUGCAGGUACCGCACGAAUAAGGACCGGCUAAUUCCGUGCCAGCAGCCGCGGUAAUACGGAAGGUCCGGGCGUUAUCCGGAUUUAUUGGGUUUAAAGGGAGCGCAGGCGGAGAUGCAAGUCAGCCGUAAAAUCGUCCUGCUCAACAGGAUCUCGCGGUUGAAACUGCAUCCCUUGGGUGCACAAGAGGCAGGCGGAACUCGUGGUGUAGCGGUGAAAUGCAUAGAUAUCACGAAGAACUCCGAUUGCGAAGGCAGCUUGCUGGGGUGUUACCGACGCUCAUGCUCGAAGGUGCGGGUAUCAAACAGGAUUAGAUACCCUGGUA